CCAUUAUUGCCUUAGCCUUCUUCUUCUUGUGCUCAACCUGAAAGCAAAAGAAACAGAUCUGAGAUAAUGGGUUGUUUUCUUCAUUGCUUUGGUUCCUCCAAAAGCACAAAACCUAGGCGCAAGGCACAACAUCACCACCAUGUAACAGCAAACACCCUUCACCUUCUCUUCUUCAAAGCUUCUAUCUUUUUUUUUUUUUUUCAAAUUCCAUUACCCUUUUGUUCGGUUCCUCAGAAACUGCAUGGAAAAGGCCUUGUUCAUUUUUAUUUUCUAUAAAGUUUAACACUUGCACCUUUAUUUUUUUGGCUUUUGAUUUUUUUUAAUUGGCCAAACAGAGCUUAUUAGAUUAGCGUUUCUAUAACCUAAUUGAAUCUUUUCAAUGUUGUUGCAGCGAAUUGCUAGAGACAGGUUGGAGCAACCUACGGCGUGUUGUUCUGUUCAGGAUUACUCCGAAACAGUGGUACUUAGCACUGCAUCACAAGAAGUCCAGUAAGUAAUUUACUAAUUGAGUUUCUAAUAUUGUAACUUUUUUUUGUUUUUCGCAACAAAGCAUGUUUGAUUUUUGGGAUUGAAGUUUAUUUAUGAUUCUGAUAAAAUGGGUUUGGGAUCUAGGGCUAAACCUUUGGAGCAGAUAAACGUGAGCCCUAAAAAGAAAGUAACUUUUGAUGUCAAUGUGAAAACGUACGAGCCCGAGCCUGAUGAAGUUGCUGAUUACCAACUUGUGAGAAGUGAAGAGGGUAGAGAGGAAAGUGCUUUUGUUGAAAAGUUAAGCCAAACAAAGUCUUACUCUGAAGUAAGUUCGGUGACUUCAGCGAGGUCUUACCCUACAAACCAUAGGUACCACAGUUGCACGUGUAGUGAUGAUGAAGAUGGAGCAAUGGAGUAUUGGGAUAGUGAUGUUACUGAUGAGGAUGAGGAUGAUGAUGAUGAUGGUGAUAGUGACAUGGGAGAAGAGUAUGAUGAAGUGGAAGAGGAUUUUGAAGAUGGAAUAGUGUACUCAAGGUCAAGAAAUGGUGCUAAUCAAGUGGUUGUUGGAGAGGUGGAAAGUCCAAUUCCAAUGCAUGAUAAGGAUCUGAAGUCAAUUGGGUUGAACUCCAAUGUUCGAGAUAGGAGUGUGUAUGUUAAUCCUUUGCUGAACCCUGUGGAGAACCUCACUCAAUGGAAAACAGUUAAAGCUAAAAGGGCACCCCCAUUGGUGUCUCAGAAGGAGAAUUUGGUUUUGAAUCAAGAGUCUAGAGCUGCAUUUGGAGCAGAAACAGAAACACCAAAGAAGUUGAACCGGGAAAUUGCAGUUGAUGCUAGCCUUUCGAAUUGGUUGGGUUCAUCAGAAACUACACCUGUUGUUAGCAAGGGUUUGUAUGCGGGUACCCCGGAGAGGAGCAGCAGCAGUUCACAAGGCUCAAAUUCAGUGGUGAGCCAUGAAGAUAGGCCUAUUUUAGGUGCAUUGACAGUUGAAGAGCUCAAACAUUUUUCGGCUUCUUCUUUGCCAAGAAAAUCACCAAGGGAUGAGAUGAUGCCCAUUAUAGGCAGUGUUGGGAGCUACUGGAAUUGUGGGGGCUAUGCUGAGGAUUCUGGCUCAGCAAACCGAGUAAGAUCAAGAAAAGGGUACAUUUGAAGUGAAAUUUGGAUCAAGUAUUGGUUGAGGGUCAAUUUUGAUUGUGAAAAAUAAGAGAGGGAAUUGGCAUUUCAACCCCAUCAGAGACAGUAUUAGAGAAAGUUGUUCCUUGUGGUAUGUUUCACCUUCCAAUGAUGUGAUUUUGGGAGUGUAUUGUGUUGGGGUGCAUUUUUUGAUUCUUUUGUGAAUUUGAUAGUGUUUGUUGUUUGCUUUUCUUUUGUAAUAUGCGGUUGGAUUAAUACUAUUGUCAAUUUGUCAUGUAUGUACUCCAAAGGGAGCUUAUUUAUCUGCUGUAUAUUGUCUCCGCAUUUUCUUCCAUGCUGAUGAUUGAUGAAGAAGUCACAGGGGUUGAGAACAAUGUUAUAUGUCUUAACAAUGACUUAGAGUGAAGAUAACUUACCCUGAGACAUAAUAUGAAGGCAUUGAAAUAGGUUAAAUAACCUUAAAAAAUAAAAUCUUAUUAUGACUCUUGGCUCAAUUUACCAGCCUAUUUAGUAGUACUAAAUAAUAACUCAGGUUUAGCCCUGAGAAAUUUUUUUUUUAUCAUGAUAUUAAUACGAAAUAAUUUUUAUCAAAUGAUUAAUUUUUGUUUUGAUUUAUUUGAUAUUUAAAGUUAGGAUUUAUUUGAUAGGAUAAUUCAUAUAUUUUAAAAUGGUUAUCUAACCGAUAAAACUUAUUAUUUUUUUUAUCAAGAUACAGUAAUAAUAAUAUGACUUUCCUAUAAGUCUCUAUACUCCCUGGAAUACUACUGUUUUGACUUUAUUUAUUUAUUAUGGUUUCUCUGUAUUUCAAUCUUAGUUUGACGCUUCGACCUUUUCCUCAGGGUGAAAAAUAUUUCUUCAUACACCUACGAUUCUCUUUGCUCCAUAGUCUAUACACACCUUGGCAAUUUCAGUUCAAAUUAAUGAUGAGACCUGCCACCAACUUAUUUAUAUAUUUAUUAGCUUAAUCUUAUUACCUUAGCAUUUUGGUUCAAAUUAAUGACGAGUCCUACGAUUCUCUUUGCUCCAUAGUCUAUACACACCUUAUUUAUUUUGUUUUUUUAAUGCAAAGAAGCAAUUAUUUAAUUUGUGAUGGGAUUUUUGACAGCAUCCCCCUUUGAGAUGAAUUUCUUUGUGAUAUUUGUAGGGUUCAAAAUACAUAUAAUUGUGUCUCUAAGAAAAGAAGAUGAGUAAAUACUCAAUCAGUGAAUUUGCAAGGCACAAACAUUUAGGUCCUUGAGUUGUAAAAUAAAAAUUCUCUUAAUUUGUCAAAAAUUGACAAAUUUAGCCUAUCAUUUAUUUCAACAUAAACGACACAAUUUAUGUGACAUUAAUAAUCCAUUUUGAUAGUGAGAAAUUGGACUAAGUGAGCCGUUGACUUGGAUGAACAAAAUUGUCAUUUGAAAUUUCAACGGACUAAUUUGUCAAUUUAGACAAAUUUCCAUUUUUUAUGACAUGGGUAAUACAAAACGAAAUAAACCUUUGUUAUCCAUUCUCACCAAGUCCUACUAGGGUAAUAGUUGCCUCUUUUUGUGUUCCUUCCUUCUCUGAGUGAGAGUGAGAGUCCAUGGGAGAAAAAAACCCUCUGAUCGCCAUCGACAAUUGUGCUCCGACUGACAUUUGAAGACGAAACCAAUUGUUCUCGAUCAAUUUGGUCAAAAGGUAAGCAUUCAAUAUUAGACUAUUCACAUUUUUUGUUCCUCUUUUUGUGGAAGUUGUUUGGUUGUGCGUGACUAUGUCUUGGGUAUUUCAUUGUUGCUUGUAUGAGAAUACAUUUCUGAUAUUUAAAAAGCUAUCAUUUUUCGUUUCUAGAACAAAUUUAGGAUUUAGGGUUUGUAUUGAUAUGUUUCUGUUAAAGUGUGAGUGCACUCUGUUUUGGGUAUAAAGAUUUGACAAUGGGCAUUGAUAAUAGUUUAGAUAUUGAAAUCGUGUUGUUGGUUAUAAAAACCGUAUCUUUGUGUUGGUGCUUAAGUAAAUGGUCUUGUAUGUGAAGAAAUUAAUCAUGUUCUUUUCAUGGAUUGUAGGAUGUCUGGUCACAUCAAUCUUAUUGUGCACCACAAGGGUAGAUUAGAAAGGGAUGAUCAUGGCACAUUGGAAUAUGUGGACAAUGAGUUUUACGUUUGGGAGAAUUGUGAAGUGGAUUUGAUGACAUUGUGGAUUGUUCUUGACUUGUGUAAAUCUCGUGGGGGUUAUCAAAGAUGUGUUGUUUUUUUUUGGAUCCUAACAUUAACAGGAAUGGUGAGUUGCUUUAAUUGGAGAAUCACAGAGAUAUCUUGCACAUGUGUCACAUAGGUAUUGCUCACCAUGAUAAAGAUGUGCAUGUCUACUUUGAGCAUAUAGUGGAUGAUUUCCCAAAUCUUGUAGGUGGUGAAUCAAAUUGAGGAUGGAACUGAAGGUAUUGAUACUGACCUUGACUAGGAAAUUGAAAGGAUUACUAACCAAAUCUGAAAUCAAGUUAAUAACUUUGUGAAUUGUUGAUGCACAAAGUAAUGUACAAGAGCCUUGGGUGGAGGAAAUGCUAAUUACGUUCCCUGCUAUGUUAUGUUUGAUUUGUAUUAAUGUUAAAGUCCUUAAGUUCAAUGUUAUAUUGCACUGAAUCUUUCAAUUUGAUCUUUCAAUUGCCAUUAUAAAAGCUUAGCAAGGCUGCCAUUAUACGUGAUGCAAAAGAGAUAUAAUAUGUUAGUCUCAUUUUUAUAAAUAAGUGACAAAUCAGUCCAGUAGUCAAUAAUAUUAUUUGAUGUCAAUUAAAUCCCUAAAUCUAACAAUUGGUUGACAAAUUAGUCCAACAUGUACAAUUACAAAGAUUCUCAUUUCAUGCAAUCUAACAACCCAUUCACCAUCCCUAAACUGGUCAUAAACAAAUCACCAUAACAAAAAAAAGGAAACAAAGUAUUUUAUAAUCUUCAAUUCCUUUUGCAAGUAAUCAAUCAUCUCCCUUAGCUCUUCCAUCCACCUUUCUUCAAAUGAUUUCACCCAAUAAUAAAAUUACAUUUUCCAACUUCUUGCCAUUCAACAAUGGGUAGUCAGUUUAUUAUUGCCAAAAAAAUGGGACAACUAAAGUAAUAGUGUAAUAAACAUUAGUACAAAUUGGAAACAACCUUUGACAAUGAGCAAAUGUAAAACAACUUCCCUAGAUUUUUAGAGGUUUUUUAUUUUCUAAUUACAGCCUUUAACAUUCAACAUAACAGUCAUGGCUGCCACCACCAUUGUUGGAUGACUCACAUUCACCACCCAUUAGCUCCCACUCGAUUUGUGCAGCAACAGAAGAAGAUAACAAUGAGAUGGACGUUGGAGGAGAAGAUAUACAACUUGGAUGGGGGAGAAGAAGAAGGGGACAACUAUUGGAAAAGAAGAAGCUAUUAGGGGAGAAGUGGUUGUGCAAAAAAAAAAAUUUAUAAUGGUUGGGGGAGAAGAAGUAGCCAUUGGGUAUCAACGGUUACUUUAUUGCUGUAAAAAAAUGGAAAUUCAUCUUGUUUAUAUUAACAAAAGAAAUAGAUGGUGGUAUGGAUUUGUUGGUCUUUUUAUAAAUUGAGGGACAAAAUUUUAUAUUUUCAAAAUUCAUGAACCCAAGUGUCAGUGCCUUGCAAAUCCAAUGACUAAAUUGGGUAUUUACCCAGAGAAAAUUGAACAAUGUGUACAUAUGACUACAAGAGCUAUUGCAUCUACAAACAUUGAAAGUUAAGUUAAAUAAAAGUUGCUAUCUCAAUCUCAGAGUCUAGUUGUGCACUAGAUUGUGCAGUGUCGACAUGUUGAAAGCUAGGCACAGUGAGUGUGAGCAACUCUUGGGACACAGAUUCAUGGUGGGUCGACACAAAGGAUUUUUGUGAAUACAUUUUAGAAUAAGUCUUAAUACCAACAUUAGGACUUCAGCUGCAAUACCUUUAGGCGGAGCCAACCUUUUAUCUAGGAAAUCUAAGAAGUGUUGACCAAAUUCCUCAGACUCUAAACACAGAAGGACCUCCUGAGGGUACCUCCCCACCAGAAUUUCUAGUGCAACAAUCCCAAAACCGCAAACGUCACAUUUUUCUGUCACCUUCAUUGAUAAUGCAAGCUCUGCAAAACAUUACACAUAAAAAUGCCCAAAGCAUCAUGAGCAAUACCUGUAAUAUCCCAUUUUUCGUAGACUAAAUUAAAAAUGAUUAUUAUUUAUAAAUAAAUAGAAUUUUAUAAAAUGAUAAGGUUUUUAUAAUUAAAUAAAUAAGGAGAAAUAACUUUAUUAAUUAAAAUAAUGAUUUUAGAGAAAAUAAAGAGGAUAUUUUAUUUAUUCAUUUGUUAGAAAAUAAAAUAUAGUUUUAAUAAAAAUAAAUAAAUAGAGUAAAUAAAUUAGGUCAGUUUUCACACACACGAUGUUUCUUCUUCCCCUCAUUUUCGUUUUUUCCUCUUCUUUCCCUAAAACCCUCUCUUUUUCCCGCAGGCCACCACUAAAUCUGUAUAAAAAAAAUAACGAUCUCGGACUCAUUCACCGUUGGAUCGUCAUGAAAUUUGAGAACCAGGUUCGGAACUCAGUUCCAAAAAUUCUCACCGUUGGGAAUUUUGAAAUCGUGUUGAAUCUGAGAGAAAUAUACUUCACAUCGUAACCUUUUCUUUUUCCGCAGAAACCCAAAACUAUCUCGGUAAAACUAUGAUCUCGGAUUUGUUAACCGUUGGAUUUUCGUAAAAUUAUAUUAUGUCGUUUGUGAUUCAAUUUCACACACCUUCACCGUUGAGAUUUGCUAAAUAAUAUCCACGAAGAGAGAAAACAAAAUCUCACGAGACAGUAUAAAAUGAAGGCUUCAAUCCCUUAUUCUUUGACGUUUGGGAACCCUAUCAGAGCAAUCAGAGAAAAAAAUUGAGAAAUCUCAGGAACUUGUUAGAGAUGCCGCUAUCGCUGUCAGAAGACACGUGAACCUGCUUAGAAAUGAGAUGAGUUUAUCGCAAUUGGGAUUAGAAUGAACAUGUGUAGGGAUCCUUAGAAAAUUAAAUUGAGUUUAUUUUAGAAUGUUUAUUAAAUUAUAAUUUUUCCUUUAUCAUUAUAAAUACAAUAUUGAUGUCCUGAUGCAAAUUGGUUGAUAAAAUAGAGUGAUCUUGGUAUUUUUAUUUUUUUUAUCUAUGAUUUUGAUUAAUUGAUUUCGGUAUAAUUGUGUGAAAUUAUUUGAGGGGUUUUACUCCCCAUGUUGUGAUAAAUUUUUUGUAUAAAUUUUUAUAUUGAGAUUAAGGGGUUUUGAGGGCGAGCCCUGGUGCAGCGGUAAAGUUGUGCCUUGGUGACUUGUUGGUCAUGGGUUCGAAUCCGGAAACAGCCAGGGUAAGGCUGCGUACAAUAUCCCUCCCCCAUACCUUCGCAUAGCGAAGAGCCUCUGGGCAAUGGGGUACGAAGUUUUUUUUUAUAUUGAGAUUAUGAAAUGGUGAUUCAAAUUUUGAGUAUGUGAUAAUUUAAACUUGUGAUUAAUGGUGAAAUAGAUGUGUAUUGAGAUGUGUGUAUGGAGUUGUGAACUAUGAACUGUACAAUCACAUAAUUGUAAGACCCUUUAAGGGCGAUGAGUAUUGUGAUGAGAUCCACUGUGGGAACCCGACGAGUUAAAAUGAUUUUGAAAACAAUUGAGUAGUUGUGUGUAUUGCAUAGUUCAUAGGUAAAGUGUAUAUGAUUCAUGAGGUGUGAUAACGUGUUAAUUGAGAUUAUACCAUUAUGAUUGAAAUCGAGUGUAUGUGAUAAAUUGUGUAUGUAUGUGAUUGAGAUGUUGUGUGCAUUGAGUUGUGAACUAUGAAUUGUACAAUCACACAACUAUAAGACCCUUUAAGGACGACGAGUUAAUGCUAAGUCCCUUUAAGGGCGACAAGUUAAUGCUAAGUCUCUUUAAGGACAACGAGUUAAUGCUAAUUCCCUUUAAGAUAAGGAACCUGUGAGGCUAUUUCCUGACAUAUCAAGAUAAGUAAGGUUGGUUGGGAUGCUGGAAUUUAGUCCUGACUUGUGAAGAUCCAAUCUCCGAAGCCUAUGGAGAUUUCCAAUUGAUGAUGGUAUUGGUCCUUGGAAGACAUUUUGAUUCAAUUCAAGCACCUCAAGGUUUGACAAGAGACCAAUCUCCUUUGGUAUAGUACCGUUAAGCUUGUUUUUUCCAAGCUUCAUGUGUUUGAGGUUUGUAAGGUUCUUAAUUUCUGCUAGAAUUAGCCCUUCAAAGUAGUUAUUUGUCAUGUCUAGGAUUGUCAAAUUCCUAAGACUGGUCAGUAAGUGUAUUGGAAUCUGUCCAGUGAUUGUGUUGAGUGAUAGAUCAAGAGACACAAGCUUUGGACAUUUAGACACAAAUGGGGGAACUUCUGUGAGAUAGUUAUAGGUGAGAUUGAGUUCAGUUAUGGAUGCCAUGCCCUUAAACUGAACCGGGUCAGGAUUCUCCAAAUAAUUUGCCCCUAGAUCAAGAAACCAUAAAUUCUGCAAAUUGCUAAGUUGAACUGGUAUUUGAUUUAGGAGUGAAUUAUUAUUGAGAGAAAGAACUUGAAGUUGUAGGAUGUUUCCCAUUUCUGGGGGGAUUGGAAAGGUGAAAUUGUUGCUACUUAAAUAAAGUAUUUUCAGCUUUGUUGCAUUUCCAAUUCCAGCUGGUAUCUCUCCAACAAGGUUAUUCAUACUGACAUUGAAGUUACUGAGAUUAGAGCAGGCUGAGAAGUCAAACCUGUUAAGGGUUCCAUCUAGGCCUGAAUUGUGAAGCUUUAUCUCAACAACAGUGCCUGCUUUGUUGCAAGUAAUACCGGUCCAGUUGCAUGGAUUGUUGCUGUUGUUUCAUGAAGGCAGCAAGGGAGAGUUCAAACUGUUCAUCCAGGUUCUAAGAGACUCUUCUUCUUUCUGUGCUGAAAUCUCUCCAAGUAUACAAGACAAAACCAGAGAGAAAAUUGUCAGCUGAAAAGUUUUCUUCAUGCUGGCAAAUUUGGUGUAGUAGUUCAACGAAGAGAAAAUUUGUUCAUGUAAGAAUUUGGAGAAAGUGCUGACAAUACAUUAUUUAUAUGGAAGUUUGUACUUGUUAAGUUGUUAGUAUUUAAUGUUUCUUUUCUUAAUAUGGGAUAUAAUUUCUGAGUUAAGUAUCAUAGAAGAUAUAUUUGUUUUAGAGAGCUAUAUAAUCCCAGCAUUAUCUCCAAA
rnacentral:lncRNA from 1 species